CUUAUACUCCCUCCGUUCCGAAUUACUUGUCGCACGUAUGGAUGUAUCUAGAUAUAUUUUAGUUCUAGAUACAUCCAUUUCAGCGACGAGUGAUUUGGAACGGAGGGAGUAUUUA
rnacentral:pre_miRNA from 1 species